AGAGUGUAAAGGCAAAAGAGAGCUUGAUUGCAAGACAUACAGGUCGAGCAAGGAUGAAAAUCGGACUUAGUGAUCCGGUGGUUCUGCGUGGAAGGGCCAUCGCUCAACGGAUAAAAGCUACCCUGGGGAUAACAGGCUUAUCCCCCCCAAGAGUCCACAUCGACGGGGAGGUUUGGCACCUCGAUGUCGGCUCAUCACAUCCUGGGGCUGUAGUAGGUCCCAAGGGUUGGGCUGUUCGCCCAUUAAAGUGGUACGCGAGCUGGGUUCAGA
rnacentral:rRNA from 1 species